GGCCGCCUGGCGAAAUGGCAUCGCGUCUGACUACGAUUUCGUAUCUAAUCAGGAGAUCGCAGGUUCGACCCCUGCGGUGGUCA
rfam:Fibulorhizoctonia sp. CBS 109695 unplaced genomic scaffold FIBSPscaffold_67, whole genome shotgun sequence.